rnacentral:rRNA from 1 species
CAGUAGCCGCGGGAAUACGGAGGGUGCAAGCGUUAAUCGGAAUUACUGGGCGUAAAGCGUGCGUAGGCGGUUCGUUAAGUCUGUUGUGAAAGCCCCGGGCUCAACCUGGGAAUGGCAAUGGAUACUGGCGAGCUAGAGUGUGUCAGAGGAUGGUGGAAUUCCCGGUGUAGCGGUGAAAUGCGUAGAGAUCGGGAGGAACAUCAGUGGCGAAGGCGGCCAUCUGGGACAACACUGACGCUGAGGCACGAAAGCGUGGGGAGCAAACAGGAUUAGAUACCCCUGUAGUCCCUGUCUCUUAACA